rnacentral:lncRNA from 1 species
CUCGCUAACUUCCAAGAAUGAAGCCGUGGACGUUCACAGCAAUCUACUCAUUUGAAUUUUUCUCCAAAUGCAUUGAGCUGAAUGGAAAAAAACAAACUUUAUUGGUAACACCCUGAAAUCCACUCUUGGAAAUCUUGAUUGCACCUAAUUCCAAAUCUGUCACUAUAGUUGGGGAUUCAACUGAAAUCCAUUUUCUUCUUUAUAAAGACAAUAACAAGGUCAAGAUCUAAGCAAACACACAAAUGUGAACAACAGGGAAAGAACCCAUUGACCUACCAAGACAGGCUGCCAACAGAAUUUUGAAGGCUUGCCAAGAUGCUUUUAUGGAGGUAGAGUGAAUGAGAUUCCGUAAGUGCAAAAUAAUCCUUUUAAGACUACCCAGAAAGUAAUAUAAGUGAACUAGUUAUAUAAGAUUCAGUGAGGACUACCAAAACAUUGGGAAGAAAUGUGGAUUUUAUCAUUCAAGGAAAUAUAAUUUUAUUGUAAGAUAUAAUCUUUGUUUUUGUAGUCAAAUAGAAACAUUCAUGCCUUAAUACAACGUUUGGUAAAAAGAACUGAAGAAGACACCAUAGAAGAUUUUAACAAACAAUGAACUCAUUAGCUAAAAGAUUUGUCAUGAAAUAAUGAUUGAUUUAGUUGUUUUCUAAAAUAUUUCUAGUGCCUAUUAGAUGUUGAAGGAGACUUUGAUCAUGAAGUGUGUUCUCUGAGGAGCUGCUAUUUUUAUUUUUAUAUUUGUUUGAAGUGAAUUGUCCUGCUAAUUCUUUAACAUAAAAUAUCUUCAAUUACAUGAUUCAACAUUUUAAAAAGUGAUUAAGACAGAAGAAUAUGUGCUGGGAUUUAUUUUUGGAUCUUUGAAGUAGCAAAGAGUAGCAGAACUCCUUAAUCCAUAGAGUGGUUAUUUUGCUGUAUGAUGACUCUUGUAUUUACUCCCUGAAUUACCCUUUCCACUAAAAAGUAUUAAUGAGACAUUAGUAGGCUAUAGAAAAAAAUACUUCUGAUCUACUUAGAAAUAUUCAUGAGGUUUUCUCCUGGUGGAUUCACAUCAAAUUUUAUUUUUUAAAACCCCAAGUAUUUUUAUUUGAUGAUUAAUAAGUAAGAUGGAGGCUGGUAGGUGGAAAUCGCCAGCAGGAAAAUAAAAUGCUUUGGCUAAGCCGACAACUGCUACUGUCCUCCUCUGUACAGACUCUCCUGCUGAAGACUCACGGAGGCUUAUUUCAAGUCUUCUUUAGUUCAUUACCUGCAUGUUCAAAUGGAGCUGGUACUGUGACUCACAGCUUUCUGUCCAAGAAUGCGAUUUGUACCUCUACAAAUCUUCUACACCUUCUUCAUCUAGUAAACACUUACUCUACAGGUCUCAUCUCAAAUCUAUUACUAUAUGCAACUAUAGUACAUAAGCAAGCCAUUUAAAAAUGUUAAAGGAAGAUAUGCAUUGAUAUGGGUUGGCUGUUUUCCCACCCAAAUCUCAUCUUGAAUCGUAGCUCCCAUAAUCCACACGUGUCAUGGGAGGGACCCA